rnacentral:rRNA from 1 species
GUAGGGAAUCUUCCACAAUGGACGCAAGUCUGAUGGAGCAACGCCGCGUGAGUGAAGAAGGUCUUCGGAUCGUAAAGCUCUGUUGUUGGUGAAGAAGGAUAGAGGCAGUAACUGGUCUUUAUUUGACGGUAAUCAACCAGAAAGUCACGGCUAACUACGUGCCAGCAGCCGCGGUAAUACGUAGGUGGCAAGCGUUGUCCGGAUUUAUUGGGCGUAAAGCGAGCGCAGGCGGAAUGAUAAGUCUGAUGUGAAAGCCCACGGCUCAACCGUGGAACUGCAUCGGAAACUGUCAUUCUUGAGUGCAGAAGAGGAGAGUGGAACUCCAUGUGUAGCGGUGGAAUGCGUAGAUAUAUGGAAGAACACCAGUGGCGAAGGCGGCUCUCUGGUCUGCAACUGACGCUGAGGCUCGAAAGCAUGGGUAGCGAACAGGAUUAGAUACCCGAGUAGUCC